CUGUAGACACGAGUUUUCGGACAAUGGAAGUAGAGGAAAGUGGCGGACGGGUGAGUAACGCGUGAGGAACCUGCCUUGAAGAGGGGGACAACAGUUUGGAAACGACUGCUAAUACCGCAUGAUGCAUAAGGGUCGCAUGAUUCUUAUGCCAAAGAUUUAUCGCUUCAAGAUGGCCUCGCGUCUGAUUAGCUAGUUGGCGGGUAACGGCCCACCAAGGCGACGAUCAGUAGCCGGACUGAGAGGUUGAACGGCCACAUUGGGACUGAGAUACGGCCCAGACUCCUACGGGAGGCAGCAGUGGGGAAUAUUGGGCAAUGGGCGCAAGCCUGACCCAGCAACGCCGCGUGAAGGAAGAAGGCUUUCGGGUUGUAAACUUCUUUUAAGAGGGAAGAGCAGAAGACGGUACCUCUAGAAUAAGCCACGGCUAACUACGUG
rnacentral:rRNA from 1 species